AAGUCGUAACAAGGUUUCCGUAGGUGAACCUGCGGAAGGAUCAUUAACACGUAUCCAAACGUUAAAACCCCCCCCGUGAACCUUCAUCCUAUUGUUAACAGUUGUUCGGUUUUUUAACCCAAUGUAUUACAUUGAGCUUCACAUUAAACUGUGGGGUUAUUAGGGGGCAUGGGGACCUUGGCAAAGCUCCUGCCCGAGUGUACGGUCUACAGGAAUCGUAGAAGCGCUAUCCUUGCACAAUCAAUGACACUUUCCGACACAGCGAACUACGCGGGUUACAAGAGCAGGAUAUCUUGGUUCUC
rnacentral:misc_RNA from 1 species